UACGUAGGGGGCAAGCGUUGUCCGGAAUCAUUGGGCGUAAAGAGCGUGUAGGCGGUCCGAUAAGUCCGCUCUGAAAGUCCGGGGCUCAACCCCGGGAGGCGGGCGGAUACUGUCGGGCUCGAGUCCGGAAGAGGAGUGUGGAAUUCCUGGUGUGAGCGGUGAAAUGCGCAGAUAUCAGGAGGAACACCAAUGGCGAAGGCAGCACUCUGGGACGUGACUGACGCUGAGACGCGAAAGCGUGGGGAGCAAACAGG
rnacentral:rRNA from 1 species